AAAGCAAACAAGUAGAGUGAAAAUUAGGAUAACAAAGUGAAACUGUUCCAAGUCCAAAUAUUUGUGCCUGGUCAGAUCAUUUUUUUUCACAACUCUACUGUAAAAGGCAAAUAUCGUGGUCCUCCUUUCUAUUCACGCUAUUCUAAGCUGCCUGAUUCUGAUUCCAUCCCUUAUAUCCUCUAGCACACAUCAUAUUUUUUUCAUAAACUCCUUCAUCUUAUUAUUCAAGUAAAAACAAUGAAUAAUUUUCUUUCAGGUUAUUGAGCUGAAUGAAGUCACAGAGGGGUCUAAUGAAUGCCAGAACCUCCGAGAAGAAAAGAAUGGAAGCAGAAUCUUCUCAUUUCAUUAGCAGCAAGUCUCCAGAUGGUGUCAUGGUGUUUCAGACUGAAAGGAGGUGCUUUCAAAUACACAGCCUUUAAUCUGGAGAAAACGUACAUCCAGUUUGUAGCCCUCACUGCUUUUACAGUGGCUAACACUGCUGCUUGCAGGUAACAGUUUUUUAACUCAUCUGAACCUUUCCAGACACUUCCUUCACUUUUAAUAUGCCAUAGGUAAAUUGCACCCUUUUUUAUCCUUGCUUCUGCUUGUAUAUCAUCAUGCCACCAUGGAUGUGUAACCAUUAGCCAAUAAAUUAACAUUACUUCUGCA
rnacentral:lncRNA from 1 species